rnacentral:rRNA from 1 species
UGGGGAAUAUUGGACAAUGGGGGGAACCCUGAUCCAGCAAUGCCGCGUGUGUGAAGAAGGCCUGAGGGUUGUAAAGCACUUUCAGUGGGGAGGAGGGUUGACAGGUUAAGAGCUAGUUGACUGGACGUUACCUACAGAAGAAGCACCGGCUAACUCCGUGCCAGCAGCCGCGGUAAUACGGAGGGUGCGAGCGUUAAUCGGAAUUACUGGGCGUAAAGGGUGCGUAGGUUGUUGAUUAAGUUAUCUGUGAAAUUCCUGGGCUUAACCUGGGCGUGUCAGAUGAGACUGAUUGACUCGAGUAUGGGAGAGGGUAGUGGAAUUUCCGGUGUAGCGGUGAAAUGCGUAGAGAUCGGAAGGAACACCAGUGGCGAAGGCGGCUACCUGGCCUAAUACUGACACUGAGGCACGAAAGCGUGGGGAGCAAACAGGAUUAGAUACCCUGGUAGUCCACGCUGUAAACGAUGUCAACUAGCUGUUGGUCAUAUUGAUAUGAUUAGUGG